rnacentral:sRNA from 1 species
UCACUGGCAAAAUCCAGUGUCGGGAUUGGACCCCCGUUUUUUGAUUCUCAAGGCGCAUAGUCGCCAGCUUUUUGCUGGUUUUUU